rnacentral:rRNA from 1 species
UGGUUUAUCUGGCUAAUUAUUUUCGGGUAGGGUUCCGGGCAGGCCGGUCUGGUGAUCUGGGUUGAUGUCUCAUCUCAUGUGCUGGAGCGUAGGAGUGUAGGGCUAAGUGUCUUUGGUGGUCGUCGGUUAGAGAGCAAGAGGUUGAUGAUUGGGAUCGGCGACGGACGACGAACGGAGCUACGUGCGGCGCGGGGGGUCUUGCUCCUGGCCGCGGGCUCGCCACCGGGACCGGCCACUUCUGGCAGCGGGCUCGCCGCCGGGACCGUCCACUUCUGCCCGCGGCGCUCGCCGCCGGGACUCGGGGACGCGGCGGCGGUUGGGGUUGGAGGGCAGCUAGCGAGGUGGCGGUUUUCAGGCGACGGCCACGAGGUGGAGGGUUCCUGGUCAAGUUGGUGAUGUCAAGCAGUGGUGAGUGGUGAUGGGCAGGAGAAGGUGUGCCAAGCAGGCGACGGCCACGAGGUGGAGGGCUUCUGGACUGGUGAAAGCCAAGAGGUGUAGCGUCGACUUCUACAAAAGACUUGUACUACUCCUUGACUUACUCUUACUUCUACGUAAAUACUCACAUCUCCGUCUACGUCUUCGUCCUCUGUUUAGGCAGAAUGUAUCAUAAUAACUGCUACUUCAACAGCUUCCACGGUUAGAUCUUCGACGAGUUCUACUGUUCGGUUAACUUCGACUUAGUACUUAGAAGAAUGAAACACAGUAUACUUAGAACAAUGAACGAGAGUUUACAUUUGUACAUGACCAUGACACAAUGAACGACAACGUAUAUUUGUACAUAACCAUGAAAGACGGGAGUUUAUAUUUGUACAUAACCAUGAAAGACAGGGUACGAGACAGGAGGAGACGAGACAAGUUAAGGGGAUAGAAUAUUUGAAGUCAAAAAACUUGUCGUACCCAAGUCUGUCAUCGUACUGCUGGGUUGUAGAGUUAAGGACGCACAUAACGACCCUCUCAUACCUUUGAUCCCCUACUACAACGUCGUAAUACAUGUCUACCUCUACAUCCACGACCACGUAACGCACACCUUUACGUCUUCUCUUGACUUGUUUGACGUCCCAUACCACCACGACGACGUAGUCAAUCACUGUUAAAUGAAUCCUUUCCCACCUACAACCACACACCGUAAGACUAUAAACAUAGUCCAAAUCAAGAUCCCUACUAGAAUAGGAUCAAGUAAACGAUGACUAGAAUAGGUGUUUACCAACACUCCGUUACAUUACAUACAACAUUCCUUUACAUGCCUUACUUUAAGUCAAACGUCUUAAACGGUUCGUUACAUGACUUAUAGACUUUCCGUC